UAAACCAUGUGCGUUUGGCUGCUCGCCCUCAGUGGAGCUGCAUACAAAUAUUGACAGAACACAGUGACAUUUGUUAAGCUGGAUCUUGGGAAGUGAGUGAUUAAAACUCUAGGGGAAGAUCUUAGCACUUCAAACCUUCCCUCCCCCCCCCCACUCCCUUCUCCCCCUAAUCUUCACAGCUUUAACAGAGUGAAAGUGAAAAUGCUGAGUUUAGUCAAACGGGAGCACUGACCUUUUCCUCUGCCUUGUUCUAGUGAAAAUUGCAAAUACAUGGCAUUUCCAACAAAGAACGUUAUAGGCAUGGAUAAAAAGCAGCAACUAAUAAAAAAGGAGUUUGGAAAGAGAUUCUCUCUGGAUAGCAGUCUCAUGUUCUGCUUCACUUCAACUGUUUCAUCAAGCUUCUGCAAAGUUGUUCUGAAAAACAGAAAUAAAAGCACCUCAUCGGAUUGUGGCUUUCUUAUCCUUUCCUAAUAAGAAUUGGCAGCUGAAUGUAUUCUGCUAUGGAGGCUUCACCAACAGAGCAAUGAGAACCAUAAAUUAUUCCUCACUCUUCCUGUCCUCAAGUAAAAUAUUAGGGGCUAUCUAUAACAUCAAAUGAUCCAACAUUCACUUGUGCAUGGGAUUUUUCUUUACUCUCCUCUAUGCUCUUCACUCCCAUAGAUGUGUUCCACAUCUGCUUCAAAGUGCUGUCCAAACUUCUAGAUUCAAAGUAGGGGAGAAUAUGCAGACAGUCACAAGAGAGAAGAGGAAUCCAAUCUACCUCUGGUGUCCAUUCCACUGUGGGACACCAUACAAACUGCUGAAUCACAUGAAUUUUGUUAUCCAGGUUUCAUCCAGUUCAGGUGCCAUAGAAACUGGAACCUAAAAUAAGAAUAAUUGGUCAGAACAUGGCCUGUGUAUUUUCCUUCUAUCCCCACAAGUAAGAGAUAAAUACUGUGCAUAUAAAAAAAUGAAAUCUGAACAUGCAGAAAAAGGUCUGUAAUAUCUAAUAAAGUCCAGAUCCUCAUUCUUGUGAUCUCCCUUGUUUCAUGGCUACAGC